AUACCAUAAUGAGAACAUCUCUUUAGUAACUCCCUAAAUCUUUUCCAUGCAUCAUACAAGCUUUCAUCUUCAAGUUGAUGAAAAGAUGUGAUCUUAUUUAUCAAUUU
rfam:Citrus clementina cultivar Clemenules unplaced genomic scaffold scaffold_5, whole genome shotgun sequence.